CUCAGAGCUGAGUAGAGGCUGUUUGUUGUUUCUCUCAUCCUUCUCUCCAGGGUGUGACCGCAGGUGCAAGCGCCGCAGCUGCAGCUCAUUAAGGUUCAUCAGCAGGUGCUUAAAGAGGAGUUGGCUCCCUAAACCAGCUGCCAGAUUGUUUUGCUCACCAGAGUUGUAAUUGGGCCUCUAAUUUUUUGGUUCCAGGAUCCCUGCAGUCCUGACUUGAGCUUUUCUUGUCUCCACUGACAGAAACUGUAUUCCUCUGUUUAUGUAUGAGUUCAGGACUCUAACAAGCUGCUUGCUAAGUCCUGGUAUCUGUGUGAAGAUCUCCUACCUUAAUCUCUCCCCAUCUUUGCCAUCCCCCACACAGCUGCUCCCUUGGUUCCUCACCCGUUCCACCGCUCCACUCACCUGCCUUAUCAUUACUCAUCAGCUCCAACCAGGACAGAGGAAACAAACCAUCAGAGGACCAUCAGUGAUCAAACACCUGCCAACCUCAGGCCUUUUCCUCCAGGAAAACUCUAAUCCUUGAACUGGUUUGGUUCAGGUACCUUCAAACUUCAGUGCCUUGCUAAGAGCCAACGCUUGUUUCCACCACUUUGGGGAACCAAGAAUACGUGAAUAGUGGGUGUUGCACAAUGUGGUAGGAGAAGGUAGUAACAAGAUGGCGGAGCUGUGCUUGGUUUUUACGUAUCUUCCUCUUGAUUAGCAAUCCACAAGCCUUUCAACUCAAUCUUUAUGUACAUGAUAAAGAGACUGAUGUCAUAAAACAGAAAAGGUAAUGACUUCAAACGGUGUGUUAACUAAGCAGUAGUGGAGAUGGCAUGUGGCACAGAAAAGGCUAUUUUGCAGUGACUGUAUUAAACUGCUGUUUAUGGUUUGGAACUUCUUUUUUUGAGGCAAGAUGUGACACUCGUUUAAAAAUGCAUUUGGGGACCAGAACAGGCUCUAAAUCACAUUGUUGGGGAGGCUUUCUAGUGCCCUGCUGGAACUAUGUCCCAAGAACCCAUCUGCAUAUUCACUUUUUUGAUAAAUAAUUUUUGCAUUAACCUCUUUUUCUGUCUAUAAUUUCUCCCUGUACCAGAGUCUGGCCCAAAAGGAUGACACCUUUUGCUGACUGGACAGCAUUUUAUCUUCUCCAGUAGCAUCUUGCAUUUCUGAAGCGUACAGAGAGCUGGAUCUUUGAUCAUUGCUCUUUGCACAAUCUUUCCAUGUUGCAGAGUUCUGGGGUCUCGUCUCUGAUUUUCUGAAAAUCUGUCAGAUGUUCCUCAACUCUUCUAGAAAUUCAAAAAGUUGAUGCAAUUCUUCCAACAAGGUCCAGAUGGUCUUUGGAAGAAAAGCAGGCUCACAUUAGUUAACUGUGGGGAUUAAGUGCCUUUACAUUUACUAAUCCUUUGAUUCAAACCCACUCAGUUUGUUGUGAAGGUAGAAGUUCUUAGUAAUUCUGAUCAACUUAAAGCAGGAAAGAGAAGAUUGUCCUGAACCAUCGGUGCUGGCAGUGAGACCUUUGCUUACCAACUUGACAUCGGUUUCAAUGAUGGUGUCAUCUAACUUUUUUAAACUUGAAUUUCUGCCUCAAAUGAAAAAUCUAAAGGCGUCAUUUGAACCCUCCAGUUACAGUUUGAGGUAGAAAUUUUGAAAUUAAAGAUAUUUCUGAGUGCCCUAUAAAUGGGUUAUAGUUGUCCAUUUGCCCUGAAGGUUUCAUGCAAGUAACCCCAAACUCAUAGCAUAUAUGCUCAAAUAAUGCUUAGCUAAUUAUGAUUUU